GCGGGGUUGGCCUAUAGGUUGGGCACCACUCUUCCAAGGUGGACAAGCGGGUUCGAGUCCCGCACUCCGCUCCA
rnacentral:tRNA from 1 species